rnacentral:piRNA from 1 species
ACACAGUGGAAAGGAACUGUGCUGGAUCAGG